UAUGUGCUGAAUGGUUCACGGGUGGCCAU
rnacentral:piRNA from 1 species